UACGAAGGUGGCAAGCGUUGUUCGGAUUUACUGGGCGUACAGGGAGCGUAGGCGGUUGGGUAAGCCCUCCGUGAAAUCUCAAGGCUUAACCUGGAAAGUGCAGAGGGGACUGCUCGGCUAGAGGAUGGGAGAGGAGCGCGGAAUUCCAGGUGUAGCGGUGAAAUGCGUAGAGAUCGGGAGGAAGGCCGGUGGCGAAGGCGGCGCUCUGGAACAUUUCUGACGCUGAGGCUAGAAAGCGUGGGGAGCAAACAGG
rnacentral:rRNA from 1 species